UACAGAGGUCUCAAGCGUUUGUUCGGAUUCAUUGGGCGUAAAGGGUGCGUAGGUGGCGCGGUAAGUCGGGGUGUGAAAUUUCGGAGCUUAACUCCGAAACUGCAUUCGAUACUGCCGUGCUUGAGGACUGGAGAGGAGACUGGAAUUUACGGUGUAGCAGUGAAAUGCGUAGAGAUCGUAAGGAAGACCAGUGGCGAAGGCGGGUCUCUGGACAGUUCCUGACACUGAGGCACGAAGGCCAGGGGAGCAAACGGG
rnacentral:rRNA from 1 species